UAGAUUUGUUGUGCCUCUGAACUGAAGUA
rnacentral:piRNA from 1 species